CGCGUAGGCGGACCGAUAAGUCAGAUGUGAAAUCCCGGGGCUCAACCCCGGAACAGCAUUUGAAACUAUCGAUCUAGAGGGUAGGAGGAGAAAAUGGAAUUCCACGUGUAGCGGUGAAAUGCGUAGAUAUGUGGAAGAACACCGGUGGCGAAGGCGAUUUUCUAUCUUAUACCUGACGCUGAGGCGCGAAAGCAAGAGGAUCAAACA
rnacentral:rRNA from 1 species